GGGCAAUGUAGUCCAGUCAUGUGGCUAGCAGGAAAAUGCAGGGGGCUUGGUGAAAAUUUGCUCUAGGUCCCAGACUUGGCAAAUGAUACAAGAUUUAACUCACACAGUCCGGCUUCCAAGCCCACACUCUUAACCACUGUACUCUCAAAACGGGGAGUGUCUGCUGGGGAAAUCUCUAAGAUGAAAGCCACUUUGUCACCUUCUUCCUUCCUGCUUGGGACACACAUGUAAUGCUUGGCACUGCUCCCCCUAUCUUGUCACCAUGAGAUGACAGCCAAGAGGAGAAAAAGCCAAAACAGAGAGGAUGACAGUGAAGAAAGAGGAAAAGUGGUUAAACCUCACAUGACAUCAUGGAAACCUGAACAAAGGCACAGAACCACAGAUUUCCCAAUUCUUGCGAAGGAAGCAAUUCAUGUUCCUUCUGGGUGAAGCUGCUGCUGGUUGGGUAU
rnacentral:lncRNA from 10 species